GACGAACGCUGGCGGCGUGCUUAACACAUGCAAGUCGAACGGAAAGGCCCUGCUUUUGUGGGGUGCUCGAGUGGCGAACGGGUGAGUAACACGUGAGUAACCUGCCCUUGACUUUGGGAUAACUUCAGGAAACUGGGGCUAAUACCGGAUAGGAGCUCCUGCUGCAUGGUGUGGGUUGGAAAGUUUCGGCGGUUGGGGAUGGACUCGCGGCUUAUCAGCUUGUUGGUGGGGUAGUGGCUUACCAAGGCUUUGACGGGUAGCCGGCCUGAGAGGGUGACCGGCAACAUUGGGACUGAGAUACGGCCCAGACUCCUACGGGAGGCAGCAGUGGGGAAUAUUGCACAAUGGGCGGAAGCCUGAUGCAGCAACGCCGCGUGCGGGAUGACGGCCUUCGGGUUGUAAACCGCUUUCGCCUGUGACGAAGCGUGAGUGACGGUAAUGGGUAAAGAAGCACCGGCUAACUACGUG
rnacentral:rRNA from 1 species